rnacentral:rRNA from 1 species
CCUACGGGUGGCAGCAGUGAGGAAUAUUGGUCAAUGGGCGUAAGCCUGAACCAGCCAAGUCGCGUGCGGGAUGAAGGUUCUAUGGAUCGUAAACCUCUUUUAUAAGGGAAUAAAGUUCGGGACGUGUCCCGUUUUGUAUGUACCUUAUGAAUAAGGAUCGGCUAACUUCGUGCCAGGAGCCGCGGUACUACGGAGGAUCCGAGCGUUUUCCGGAUUUAUUGGGUUUAACGGGGUAGCAGGCGGCCUUUUAAGUCAGCGGUGAAAGUCUGUGGCGCAACCAUAGAAUUGCCGUUGAAACUGGGAGGCUUGAGUAGGUAUGAGGAAGGCGGAAUGCGUGGUGUAGCGGUGAGAUGCUUAGAUAUCACGCAGAACCCCGAGUGCGAAGGCAGCCUGCCAAGCCAUGACUGACGCUGAUGCACGAAAGCGUGGGGAUCAAACAGGAUUAGAUACCCCAGUAGUC